AUACGUAGGGUGCAAGCGUUAAUCGGAAUUACUGGGCGUAAAGCGUGCGCAGGCGGUUUUGUAAGACAGAGGUGAAAUCCCCGGGCUCAACCUGGGAACUGCCUUUGUGACUGCAAGGCUAGAGUACGGCAGAGGGGGAUGGAAUUCCGCGUGGAGCAGUGAAAUGCGUGGAUAUGCGGAGGAACACCGAUGGCGAAGGCAAUCCCCUGGGCCUGUAAUGACGCUCAUGCACGAAAGCGUGGGGAGCAAACAGGAUUAGAUACCCUGGUAGUCCACGCCCUAAACGAUGUCAACUGGUUGUUGGGUCUUCAUUGACUCAGUAACGAAGCUAACGCGUGAAGUGGACCGCCUGGGGAGUACGGCCGCAAGGUUGAAACUCAAAUGAAUUGACGGGG
rnacentral:rRNA from 1 species